AGAGUUUGAUCAUGGCUCAGAUUGAACGCUGGCGGAAUGCUUUACACAUGCAAGUCGAACGAUGAACCUUAGCUUGCUAGGGGGAUUAGUGGCGAACGGGUGAGUAAUAUAUCGGAACGUGCCUUGUAAUGGGGGAUAACUAGUCGAAAGAUUAGCUAAUACCGCAUACGCCCUGAGGGGGAAAGUAGGGGAUCUUCGGACCUUACGUUAUAAGAGCGGCCGAUAUCUGAUUAGCUAGUUGGUGGGGUAAUGGCCUACCAAGGCUUCGAUCAGUAGCUGGUCUGAGAGGACGACCAGCCACACUGGAACUGAGACACGGUCCAGACUCCUACGGGAGGCAGCAGUGGGGAAUAUUGGACAAUGGGCGCAAGCCUGAUCCAGCCAUGCCGCGUGAGUGACGAAGGUCUUCGGAUUGUAAAGCUCUUUUGGCGGGGACGAUAAUGACGGUACCCGCAGAAUAAGCCCCGGCUAACUUCGUGCCAGCAGCCGCGGUAAUACGA
rnacentral:rRNA from 1 species